ensembl:lncRNA
AAAAAAACCAUGUCGGACCUCGCAACAGUAACUAAGGGGUGCGGCUUGAUAAUGUCUCUAUUAUGACGUCACAAAGCAUGCAUUUAAAAAAUAGAGUCUUGUGUAUUUUGGUUCAGUCAUCGAUAUGGAUGUGUAUCAAGAAGUAGGUGUACCGGAGUUUGGUGCUCCUUGGCCCGCCAUGACGAUGCCCGAACAAGGAGUGAUUGGCCAAUUUACCAUUUUCUUCGCGCUUUUUCUUGGAGGACUAAAGGAUUUUCUCUUCUCUCUAGAAGAGGAAUGGUUUGGAGCAACCCAUCCUGGAGUGGGAUGGGAGCUCACUCUCCCUGCUGCCCUGGUUGUUUUUGGUGUGAUAUUACUAUGGAGGACCGUCCUUGCGAUCAAAAGCAGGAUACGUCUAUGUGAGUUUUCCUACCUUUCAUUAAGUAGCUCAGAUGAGGAGAAGAAAGCUUUUGUACUUACAUUUUAUACAGUAGAUGUAGCUCCUUAGUCAUGCCUGAACCAAGACUAAAUUCAUAUUCCCAUCUGUAUCACCAGUGACUGAGACACAGCUAAACGUGAAACUCGCCCAGCUAUCGAAAAACAAAUGUGACAUAAUGAUUCAAUUGUCUGAAAUGGAGAUACUGGUACGUUUCAGAAGCUAAGUCAGACCUGGGACAUUCUGGACUUGAUUAACAUACUUUUCCAUGAUUAUUGUAACUUAUGUUCUAAAUCUGGUUGGUUUUAGUAGAAGGACUAUGACU